rnacentral:rRNA from 1 species
UACGUAGGGGGCGAGCGUUGUCCGGAAUGACUGGGCGUAAAGGGUGUGUAGGCGGUUUAUUAAGUUAGAAGUGAAAUACCUAGGGCUUAACCCAGGUGCUGCUUCUAAAACUGAUAGACUUGAGUGCAGUAGAGGAAAGUGGAAUUCCUAGUGUAGCGGUGGAAUGCGUAGAUAUUAGGAGGAACAUCAGUGGCGAAGGCGACUUUCUGGACUGUAACUGACGCUGAGGCACGAAAGUGUGGGGAGCAAACAGG